CCUACGGGAGGCAGCAGUGAGGAAUCUUCCACAAUGGGCGAAAGCCUGAUGGAGCGACACCGCGUGAAGGAUGAAGCCUUUGUUGGUGUAAACUUCUUUUCUCUUGGAAGAUAAUGACGGUACAAGAGGAAUAAGGGGCGGCAAACUUCGUGCCAGCAGCCGCGGUAAUACGAGGGCCCCAAGCGUUAUCCGGAAUUACUGGGCGUAAAGCGUCUGUAGGUGGUUUUUUAAGUUUCGUAUGAAACUCCAGGGCUCAACCCUGGAUUGUGCGAAAAACUGGGGAACUUGAGUGUGGGAGAGGCAAGCAGAACGGUAUGAGUAGGGGUGCAAUCCGUUGAUACAUACCAGAAUACCAAAAGCGAAGGCAGCUUGCUGGAACACUACUGACACUGAGAGACGAAAGCGUGGGGAGCGAAAGGGAUUAGAUACCCCUGUAGUCCACGCCCUAAACGAUGGAUGCUAGGUGUUGGACGUAAGUUCAGUGCUCAAGCUAACGCAUUAAGCAUCCCGCCUGAGGAGUACGGCCGCAAGGUUAAAACUCAAAUGAAUAGACGGGGACCCGCACAAGCAGUGGAUCAUGUGGUUUAAUUCGACAAUAAACGAGGAACCUCACCUAGGCUUGACAUUGAUAGAAUCCACCAGAAAUGGAGGAGUGCCCGCAAGGGAGCUUGAAAACAGGCGCUGCAUGGUUGUCGUCAGCUCGUGCCUUGAGGUGUUCGGUUAAGUCCGUUAACGAGCGCAACCCACGUCGUUAGUUACUAUGUCUAACGAGACUGCUUGAGUUAAUCAAGAGGAAGGUGUGGAUGACGUCAAAUCAGCAUGGCCCUUAUGCCUAGGGCUACACACAUGAUACAAUGGUCGGUACAAA
rnacentral:rRNA from 1 species